rnacentral:rRNA from 1 species
GACGAACGCUGGCGGCGUGCCUAAUACAUGCAAGUAGGACGAGUGGCGCACGGGUGAGUAAUACAUCGGAACGUGUCCUAUCGUGGGGGAUAACUGAUCGAAAGAUCAGCUAAUACCGCAUACGAUUGGAGCGGCCGAUGCCCGAUUAGCUAGUUGGUGAGGUAAAGGCUCACCAAGGCGACGAUCGGUAGCUGGGCUGCGAGGACGACCAGCCACACUGGGACUGAGACACGGCCCAGACUCCUACGGGAUGCAGCAGGGGGGAAUUUUGGACAAUGGGGGCAACCCUGAUCCAGCCAUGCCGCGUGCAGGAUGAAGGUCUUCGGAUUGUAAACUGCUUUUGUCAGGGAAGCGGUACCUGAAGAAUAAGCACCGGCUAACUACGUGCCAGCCGCCGCGAUAAUAC